AAGAACUUAAGUUAACUAAACUAGCGGCCUUCAAAGCCGCCAAUGAGAAGUCCUCAGUCCUUG
rnacentral:tRNA from 1 species